AGCAGCCGCGGUAAUUCCAGCUCCAAUAGCGUAUAUUAAAGUUGUUGCAGUUAAAAAGCUCGUAGUUGAAUUUCGGGAUCAAGUCGUUGGUCGUGCCUCGGUACGUACUGGUGACAUUGGUUUCUCCCUUCUGAAGAACCUUGAUGUCAUUAAUUUGGUGUCUUGGGGAAUCAGGACUGUUACUUUGAAAAAAUUAGAGUGUUUAAAGCAGGCUCACGCUUGAAUACACUAGCAUGGAAUAAUGAAAUAGGACGUUUGAUUCUAUUUUGUUGGUUUCUAGGAUCGACGUAAUGAUUAAUAGGGAUAGUUGGGGGCAUUAGUAUUCAAUUGUCAGAGGUGAAAUUCUUGGAUUUAUUGAAGACUAACUACUGCGAAAGCAUUUGCCAAGGAUGUUUUCAUUAAUCAAGAACGAAAGUUAGGGGAUCGAAGACGAUCAGAUACCGUCGUAGU
rnacentral:rRNA from 1 species